UACGAAGGGGGCUAGCGUUGUUCGGAAUUACUGGGCGUAAAGCGCACGUAGGCGGAAUGUUAAGUCAGGGGUGAAAUCCCGGGGCUCAACCCCGGAACUGCCUUUGAUACUGGCAUUCUCGAGUCCGGAAGAGGUGAGUGGAAUUCCGAGUGUAGAGGUGAAAUUCGUAGAUAUUCGGAGGAACACCAGUGGCGAAGGCGGCUCACUGGUCCGGUACUGACGCUGAGGUGCGAAAGCGUGGGGAGCAACAGGAUUAAGAU
rnacentral:rRNA from 1 species